UGCAAGUCGAACGAACUCUGGUAUUGAUUGGUGCUUGCAUCAUGAUUUACAUUUGAGUGAGUGGCGAACUGGUGAGUAACACGUGGGAAACCUGCCCAGAAGCGGGGGAUAACACCUGGAAACAGAUGCUAAUACCGCAUAACAACUUGGACCGCAUGGUCCGAGUUUGAAAGAUGGCUUCGGCUAUCACUUUUGGAUGGUCCCGCGGCGUAUUAGCUAGAUGGUGGGGUAACGGCUCACCAUGGCAAUGAUACGUAGCCGACCUGAGAGGGUAAUCGGCCACAUUGGGACUGAGACACGGCCCAAACUCCUACGGGAGGCAGCAGUAGGGAAUCUUCCACAAUGGACGAAAGUCUGAUGGAGCAACGCCGCGUGAGUGAAGAAGGGUUUCGGCUCGUAAAACUCUGUUGUUAAAGAAGAACAUAUCUGAGAGUAACUGUUCAGGUAUUGACGGUAUUUAACCAGAAAGCCACGGCUAACUACGUGCCAGCAGCCGCGGUAAUACGUAGGUGGCAAGCGUUGUCCGGAUUUAUUGGGCGUAAAGCGAGCGCAGGCGGUUUUUUAAGUCUGAUGUGAAAGCCUUCGGCUCAACCGAAGAAGUGCAUCGGAAACUGGGAAACUUGAGUGCAGAAGAGGACAGUGGAACUCCAUGUGUAGCGGUGAAAUGCGUAGAUAUAUGGAAGAACACCAGUGGCGAAAGGCGGCUGUCUGGUCUGUAACUGACGCUGAGGCUCGAAAGUAUGGGUAGCAAACAGGAUUAGAUACCCUGGUAGUCCAUACCGUAAACGAUGAAUGCUAAGUGUUGGAGGGUUUCCGCCCUUCAGUGCUGCAGCUAACGCAUUAAGCAUUCCGCCUGGGGAGUACGGCCGCAAGGCUGAAACUCAAAGGAAUUGACGGGGGCCCGCACAAGCGGUGGAGCAUGUGGUUUAAUUCGAAGCUACGCGAAGAACCUUACCAGGUCUUGACAUACUAUGCAAAUCUAAGAGAUUAGACGUUCCCUUCGGGGACAUGGAUACAGGUGGUGCAUGGUUGUCGUCAGCUCGUGUCGUGAGAUGUUGGGUUAAGUCCCGCAACGAGCGCAACCCUUAUUAUCAGUUGCCAGCAUUAAGUUGGGCACUCUGGUGAGACUGCCGGUGACAAACCGGAGGAAGGUGGGGAUGACGUCAAAUCAUCAUGCCCCUUAUGACCUGGGCUACACACGUGCUACAAUGGAUGGUACAACGAGUUGCGAACUCGCGAGAGUAAGCUAAUCUCUUAAAGCCAUUCUCAGUUCGGAUUGUAGGCUGCAACUCGCCUACAUGAAGUCGGAAUCGCUAGUAAUCGCGGAUCAGCAUGCCGCGGUGAAUACGUUCCCGGGCCUUGUACACACCGCCCGUCACACCAUGAGAGUUUGUAACACCCAAAGUCGGUGGGGUAACCUUUUAGGAACCAGCCGC
rnacentral:rRNA from 1 species